UGGAAAAAGUAAACACAAGAAGAAGUGCCGAAUUUCUUAUAUAAACCAACGAUUUCAUUCAAGAAAUUAUCAUUUCUUCGGAAGAUACAAAAUGAACAAGUCACUAUUUCUUCUCUUGCUCGUCAUCGGACUUCUCGUCCUCACCGAAACAACUGAUGCGUGGCGUCGUCGUCGUCGUGUCACUCGUCGUCGCCGUCGUUGGGGGGGCUGGAACCAACAAGAAGUUUCAGAUCUUGAAGAAAUGUCAAACACUGAACAAGAAGACAUGAAUGAAGAAGACAUGGAUGAAAACUAAUUUCUUGUCGAUCUAUAACUAAAUAUAGACCAAUAUAAUAAAAUAUUGAAAAACUUG